UGAAUUUCAAACUUUCUCAAAUUGGUGGGAUCGGAAGUCGAAGCUGGGAAUAUUUCGAUUUUGUAGACUUCAUAGUGAUAGAAAUGCUGGGGUCUGGAACAAGACUGUCAUAAAACUUCCUGGAGGUCGCGAAAACAUUUGGCCGUGUCAAGUGGGUCGUGAUGAAAAAAGUUUGAAGAACACUGAUCUAAAUUAUUUGUGGAAUUACUAAUGGUUUAACUCAUACUUAAGCACUUAACAUGGUUUCACUAACUUCGAGGAAAUCACGGGACAACACAGUUUCAUAAUUCGUGAAAGAACGUCGCAUGUGCCGUGCUCAUGUACAUGUCUUUGUAUUUGGCGUAUUGAAGAUUAAACACCGCAAGACAUAGGGCUGUUCAUGUCCAAAAUAAAUAGAACGUCUUCAUAAAUGUCAUCAAUUUCGCAAAUAUGUGAUUUUCAUGUCACAAUGACUUUCUAAAUCACCUAUUAUUACUUCACAAUAAGGCUUACAAAAUGAAGACUCAAAAGAAAUGAAGCUGUGCUGGGUUAGAUUUCAUUUCCUGCAUAUUUUAAUUUCCGUUACAUAUCGUGGGUAUAUGUUGUUAUAAAAGGUGGGUUAUUCAUUAACCCAGAACAAGACGACAUUGUUACCCAGAUUGACACAUCUUAAUAGACUGAUUGCACAUUUAAUAAAUACCGUUCUACAGACGGGAGGAGUCGUGUAUCACCUUUUUUUGAUGAUUUAGUAUCAUUACGUUGUUUUAUAUGAAAGCUUCUUUUUUAUAUGUUGAGAAUGGAAAUUCUUUUCCAUUGGGUAAACUUUGUUUUUAUGGAAU